rnacentral:rRNA from 1 species
AUUGAACGCUGGCGGCAGGCCUAACACAUGCAAGUCGAGCGGAGCGGCGGACGGGUGAGUAAUGCCUAGGAAUCGGCCUGGUAGUGGGGGAUAACGUCCGGAAACGGGCGAUAAUACCGAAUAAUAUAAGCUGAGCCUAGGGCGGAUUAGCUAGUUGGUGGGGUAAAGGCCUAACAAGGCGCCGCACCGUAACUGGUCUGCGAGGAUCAUCAGGCACACUGGACCGGAGACACGGUCCAGACUCCUACGAGAGGCAGCAGUGGGGAAUAUGGGACAAGGGGCGAAAGCCUGAUCCAGCCAUGCCGCGUGUGUGAAGAAGGUCUUCGGAUUGUAAAGCACUUUAAGUUGGGAGGCGUUACCAACAGAAUAAGCACCGGCUAACUUCGUGCCAGCCGCCGCGGUAAUUC